rnacentral:lncRNA from 1 species
CCUGGAGAGUCAUUUUUAAAAUAAAAUAUUUUCAAAAUUUUGAAAUCAUAAUUAAUAUUAUCUAAGUAGAAGAAUAUGAGAAUUUUUUUAAUUAUGAGCUGUCAUUAAUUAUUUAUUGAUUUUAUUUUAUUUAUUAAAGAUGGAUUGAUUAUGUGAUCCAGAUUGAUGAACAUGUAUAUAAGUCUAAUGUUGUUAAUGAUCCUUGUGUCUUGGACUAU